AUUGAACGCUGGCGGCAUGCUUUACACAUGCAAGUCGAACGGCAGCGCGGGGCAACCUGGCGGCGAGUGGCGAACGGGUGAGUAAUACAUCGGAACGUACCCAGAAGUGGGGGAUAAAGUAGCGAAAGUUACGCUAAUACCGCAUACGUUCUACGGAAGAAAGUGGGGGAUCUUCGGACCUCAUGCUUUUGGAGCGGCCGAUGUCUGAUUAGCUAGUUGGUGAGGUAAAGGCUCACCAAGGCGACGAUCAGUAGCUGGUCUGAGAGGACGACCAGCCACACUGGGACUGAGACACGGCCCAGACUCCUACGGGAGGCAGCAGUGGGAAUUUUGGACAAUGGGCGCAAGCCUGAUCCAGCAAUGCCGCGUGAGUGAAGAAGGCCUUCGGGUUGUAAAGCUCUUUUGUCAGGGAAGAAACGGCUGAGGAUAAUACCUUCGGCUAAGACGGUACCUGAAGAAUAAGCACCGGCUAACUACGUGCCAGCCGCCGCCGUAA
rnacentral:rRNA from 1 species